CUCUUAAUAGCAGACUANASAGUGCCCGAUUUUCAGGGCGUCCCGCGAUCUAACGGUCGAGGUAACCCGCUAAAUCCUGCCUCGACUGGGACAGCCUACUGUAACUAUUGGGCUCGAACGAGGAAUUUUUAGUAGGCGCAGGUCAUUAGCCUGCGCCGAAUGCGUCCCUGCCCUUUGUAA
rnacentral:rRNA from 1 species